CGCUGGCGGCGUGCUUAACACAUGCAAGUCGAACGAGAAUCUAUGGAAAGAGGAUUCGUCCAAUUGAAAUAGAGGACAGUGGCGGACGGGUGAGUAACGCGUGAGGAACCUGCCUUCAGAGGGGGACAACAGUUGGAAACGACUGCUAAUACCGCAUAACGCGUAGAGGUCGCAUGGCCUUUACGCCAAAGAUUUAUCGCUGAAAGAUGGCCUCGCGUCUGAUUAGCUAGUUGGUGAGGUAACGGCCCACCAAGGCGACGAUCAGUAGCCGGACUGAGAGGUUGAACGGCCACAUUGGGACUGAGAUACGGCCCAGACUCCUACGGGAGGCAGCAGUGGGGAAUAUUGGGCAAUGGGCGCAAGCCUGACCCAGCAACGCCGCGUGAAGGAAGAAGGCCUUCGGGUUGUAAACUGCUUUUGUCAGGGACGAAAAGGACCGUGUUAAUACCAUGGUCUGCUGACGGUACCUGAAGAAUAAGCACCGGCUAACUACGUG
rnacentral:rRNA from 1 species